GAUACAUGGGCAGGGGCUGCUGUUGGGAAGGGAGGAGGCGGCGAUAAGAGUUGGGAUCCAGUUGUGGAGCUGGAUUGAUAAAUGAAGAUGCUCAUUAAAUCUGUGCUGGAUGGUGACCGCUGUAAUGUCAUACAGUGUGGUGCUCCCAAGGGCUUCGUUUAGCUAGUCUUCUAGAGACUGUUGGUCUGAGAGACCAUAGAGGACCGGAAGUAUCAAAUGAUGUCUCUUCCUGCCAUUGGGGAUGCUUGUGAUCUGGAGAAGAUCCUGCUGGAUCAAGAAGUUUUCCUGCUGGAUCAAGUUGGAUCAGCUCGUGCUAAAUGUACAUGAAGAGUGCAGUAAUUGUCUGGCCGGCCAAAAUGAAGUGUAAUGGGACGAGCAUUUUGAUAGUGUGGGUUCACGGAUGAUAGAAGGGAUAGCACAGAGCCUGGGGGUCUGGAAGAGCAACGGUCUAUUAUCUCAGGGAGGAAGGGGGCUGAAAUAUGCUUAGUGCAAGUGGUACUCUGUGGAUGAGUAGCGAAAGUAGCUAUGUGUUGUUUGUGGCUGGGAAACAGAAGUCUGUUAUUGCUUUUCUGAACAGCCAUCUGUUUGUUCCAUUGAUUUCUCAUCUGAACAGAAACAAUGCUUUGAGGCACUGGAUGUUGACUGAGGGUUUGGCACUAGGGGGAAAUUGGUGGUUGCCAAAGACCCAGACUCUGCCUGCUUGAACCUGCAAGUCCUGAAUGUAAAACAUUCAGGGAAGCCAAAACUCUCUUGGGUCACAGAAAGGGCUUUGAAUAUCACCCUGUCCCUGGCCUGGCUGCAGUGCUGUGUGCUAUUCUCUUCCUCCACAAUGGGGGAUAUUAAAGAACUACUGAAACGGCAAACUGGAAGAGUUAUGUGGAAAUGAUAUAACAAGUGUGAAGAUAUCCUCCUUAGGAGAUCACAUCCUGGAAGUACUCAGCACUUAGAUCUCGCCUUCUAUUUGUGUUUCCUGGAAAUUUUGUUAAGCUGCUAGAAAUGAGGUUUCGUGCUUUUAAGAUUUCCUGUAAUUGUCUCCUGAAAGAAUGGCUGUGAAGGGAUCCUCUCAAAUGGAGGUUGCUCAGCGCACUUGCAAAAACAAUGCAAACCUUAUGAUGGGAGUCUUACUGUGAUGUGUUCAGGCUAAAAGCUUAUUUAAAGACUUUCUACUCAGUGCUGAAGGUUGCGUGGAUGGCUCUGGGAGAGAUGCAGAUGAAGAGCGAUGGUGUACAUGACCUCGCUAUUGCAGACUCUCGGGCUCAUGUCUGCUUUGUUACUUGCCUGACAAAGGAAGCAGCUGUGCUGCCUAGUCUGCUGUGUUGAUUGGCCUUGUUCUGUGCCAGAGGUGGAGAAGGAGCUGUUGUCCUUCAGAAAGGAGUGUCAGUGUGGGAACCUGUUGGGUUUGAAAGUCAUUGGAGACUGAUGAUGGGAUAUGGCUUCCUGCACGCUGCCUCCAUUACCUAGAGCCUUCUGGAGAGCAGUGGGGAAAAACAUGCAGCCCAUCUGACGGUGCUGGUCUCCAGACCAUCAGCAAGAGUUACAACUGAGCCAAGCAAAUGUCUCAUUGCUUCCUCCCACAGCGUGGUGUGCGUGAUGACAGGCUUUGAAGAUGCUGUUUGAUCCUGCACGUGCUUGAAGGGUGGCUGAAAUUUCCACUUGGUGUUCUCCUGUUGACAAAGACUGGGUUUGUGAUUGAUUAACUAUUCACAGCCGUACCGUGCUGUCCCUGGAUGCUGCUUGACUGGAGCAAAGGUUUGUGCUGCUUGGUUUCAGACAGGCCUGGCUUCUCAGCUGUGCUUUUGGUGGUCCCUUGCUCCUCCACCAGUGUGUGCGGUACGUCACUAUCAAGCAAAACUCUUAUUCUUUGCUGUCAACCAAUGUGUAAACAGUCAGCUCCUCAGUCGGGGAGUUUAAAUACGGUCUUGUGUUGCUUAUGCACCUGUGGAAUAGAGCUGUGGAUAUUGCUGAGGUCUGAGCCAUUUACAGGUGUCUGAGGCUUGGGCAGAGCCAGUGUUUCUGGAGUGGCUGCUUUGGUCCAUGAAUGUAGAAGCAGUUGUGUAGAAAAUUCAGCUGGAAGUGGUAUCGAACUCAUAUUGCUGUGCCGAGUCUGAAAGUUUCUGCGGUUGGGUACGGAUGCUGAAGUUGGAAAGAAAUCCCUUUAGAUGUGAAAGCUGCCAUGGUUGGGAAACAAAACCAGCCAUGAAAGGGAAACAAAAUGAAGAAUUUAAAAGAAAACUAAGAAUUUGUCAAUAUUGUGUCUCAAGGAGGGAGAGGACUGAGCUUAUAUUGUUCUUAAAUGUUUUUUGUCUACAGUGAAUGCUGAAAUAGAAACCGGAGCUUGCUCCUGGCAUGUGAUGAGGAGCUGAACUCUAAAAUAUGUUUUCUCUGUAAUAGCUGUGGGAAUUAAGUGUGCAGGUCAUCUUGAUGGAUGAAAAUGUGAAUGUAUAAAGUGCUGCAAACUGUCACCCAGCAAAUUCUGCUGCUUCAAAAUUCUGAUUUAAGCUAAUGUUGUAAUAUCUUCAAUUUAUAAUUCAUUUAUGCAUUUAGGUGCAUCCAAGUUCCUCCUUCUGACUCAUACUCUCUUAUUUUGACAGUAAAAAGAAUUUCAACGUAGAUAUCAGUGACCAAACUUCCAACUCGAUUAAAUUCUGUUAAAUUAAGGAGUUUAAUUUCAAUUAAUAAAACUUCUGUGGAGAGAUCCAGACCUCUGCAGGGUUUCCCAUCCCUGUAUCUCCUGCUUGCACUGGUGCAUCAGAGCAUGGUGACAUAGAUAACGAGAGUCAGUGUAAAUACCUGUGGUGACAAGCACAGUGAAGUGGGCUCUGUUUGAAGCACAGCUGGGCCUUGGCUGCUUUGUUAGCCUAAAACCUCUGCUGCUGAAGGACUGUGUUUCUCUCUGGGCAGAGCUUUGGGAAUGAUUUGUUUGUGAGACAGUUGUGACAGUGAGACUUUACCAGUGUCCCGGGAAUUCCAACAAAAUGGCUGCGUUCCCCGUGCUGUUCCUGUCAGACACCAACAAGCUCACUGCCCUGCGCUUCAGGCACUCUUCCUUGGCUUCAACACAUACCGUUUGAUCGGUGGCUGUUGUAAAUGAGAUCUGCUGUUUCAGCUUUCAGCAAGCCACGUUUGGAGGACAGCGGAGCCUUUGAGCGUGUUUGCUUUUCCCUUGCUCGCUGUCUGGUUCUGGCUGCUUUUCUUGUUAACAUUUUUCUCUGGAAAGAGCAAAUACCCUUUGUGAAAGCACACUUCCCCUGCUGCAGCUCCGAGCCUAGGCAAUAAUCCUGUCUGGGCAGCAUUGGAGCCUGGACAUAACUAAUCUUUGUGGUGUAGGAGUCGAAAACUGUAAUCCUGCAUGCCGAAUGAGAAAUCCAUCCAGUUUCAGAACUGAAGGGAUAAUGCUACUGGUGCUGUGGGAUCUAGUGGUGGUUAAAUACGCUUGAUUUUUGCUGGGUUGGGUAGAGGGAGUGUCCAGAGCGAGUGGUGCAGGCUUGGACAGCUGGGUUGGUGGAGGGCUGUAGCAGAACUGAGAACUACAGAGAGAGGGGAAAAUAUCAUAGCAGCGAACAAGUCCAGCUGGUCCUGCAGCAGCCCUGUCCCUGCUUUUGACACAAGGAAAUAUGUAAAUUUGCCUGAAAGUGGGAUUGCCUACUUAGGAGGUGGCUGCAGCACUGCUAUCCUGCCUGCCCUGUGUGUGCUGGAGGUCAGGCUGCUCUCUUGCUGUUCCGUAAUGGCCAGUUGCAUGUGGCUCUGGGCCAAGCAUCUCUUUGUGCUAUCACAGUUAGGGGCUUGGGUCCGUAUUACCUGUGAGUCUUGUUCAAAGACAGACUGGGGAUGCGUUUUCAUGAUGCCAAGUCUUUGGCAAUACCAGGUUCUGCUUUUUCUGCCCUGUACUGUGUAGUAGAUUUGCCGUCCCAGAUGUUUAUGGGGCUCCAGGCUGGAUCAGGGAUCUGGUCUGAUGUUUCUAAAGCUGCUUUUGUUCACAUGGGCUUUUUAAGCUGGAAAAACUUCUUAAUUUGGCCUUGAACAAGCUGUGCUGGCAUUAGUAAGAGCAAGAACUGACUACAGAGGGAGAGGAUUGUCACUUUUUACAGCACAAACCACAAGACUGGUUCUUUGUGCUUCAUUCUGACCUUAGGGUUUUAUUUCAGUGAAGGUUUUGUUGGUGUCACUGCUGAAAGAUGCUGUCCCGUUUUCCCCUCCUGCCCUGUCCCUUGUGCCAGUGCAGCUGUUUGCGCGUUAGGGGAACUGAUUCAGGGGAAAAAGUUAAAGAGAGAAGACAACCUGUUUCCAAGCCAGUGACGUGUAGCGUUGCAGCCCAAGGUGGCUGUACCAGCACCGGGGGGCUGAGGGUAAGGGCGGAGUGGGAUCACUGUUUUGGGUGCCAAUGUUGGCUUUUGGCAGCUUCAGAUUGUAGCUGUAGCUCGCGGGCUCAGAAAAUCACUUUACUAGUUUCUGGCCUACUUUUCAACAGCUUCAGACUGUCCGUUAAAAAUUUGCCCUAAGGCAAACUUCCGUUUUGGUGUCAAAUGGCAAAGUACAUGGAGCUGCUCUCCGGGUGCUUGCUGUUGCCUCUGCUGUGUGUAAAUGGUCCUAAAACUGAGCCCAGAGAACUAAAGCAUGGUUCGAUGUGUAACAGCAGCCAUAUGCUUUGUUCUGUUUCUCAGCUUGUGUAACUGAACCCUUGGCUGAUGAUAACUGGAUCUGUUCAGUUGGAAGAGAAACUUGUACACAAGUGGAAAUCAACAUUUACUUUUGGUCUUAUUCUGACCUUUCUAUGCUUUCUUUCUUUGUGUAGCUGAAAAGUUGCACAAUGUUUUCUGGAUCUCUGGGUGCUUCAGGAACAGCUGGGGACUUCGGAGGACAUGGUUGUCUUACACUGGCAGACACUUACCUUCUGGGAGAGUGUUCAGCUGAAGUGUUUUGGUGUUGGGGCUGAGGCAAACAAGGAAUAUUGUUCUGCAAGUAGUGUGGAGGUGGUGAUCUAAGUGAAUGGGGUAGCCCUUCCUGUGUUUUACAGUCAUCCCGGGUUUGCAUUGUACGAGCACGCUGGACAUGGGGAUGUUGGCGCUUCAGCUGCUGUGGUAGCAGUAACUGCCCUGUUCCCAAGGUCUUCAACAGUCUUCUCAAUUUAUUUAGCCAUUUCACUUUACAGAGGUGGUUUUAGUUUUUCUGUUUAUUGAGUCAUACUAUUUUCCAGUGUAUGUUAGUGAACGUAUAUUGUCUGCAUAAAUGAUGUUACUGGGCAGACUGGUUUCCCCAUUCACUUGUUCAUAACCCCUACCUGGUGUUCUCAUAGCAAUGCACCAGCUUGGUCAAGCAAUUACUCAUUUAUUGUUUUUCUUUUCUUU